AGCAGUAGCCGCGGUAAUACGUAGGUGGCAAGCGUUGUCCGGAAUUAUUGGGCGUAAAGCGCGCGCAGGUGGUUUAAUAAGUCUGAUGUGAAAGCCCACGGCUCAACCGUGGAGGGUCAUUGGAAACUGUUAAACUUGAGUGCAGGAGAGAAAAGUGGAAUUCCUAGUGUAGCGGUGAAAUGCGUAGAGAUUAGGAGGAACACCAGUGGCGAAGGCGGCUUUUUGGCCUGUAACUGACACUGAGGCGCGAAAGCGUGGGGAGCAAACAGGAUUAGAUACCCCUGUAGUCCCUGUCUCUUAUAC
rnacentral:rRNA from 1 species